UACGUAGGGUGCGAGCGUUGUCCGGAAUUAUUGGGCGUAAAGAGCUCGUAGGCGGCUUGUCGCGUCGGAUGUGAAAGCCCGGGGCUUAACUCCGGGUCUGCAUUCGAUACGGGCAGGCUAGAGUUCGGUAGGGGAGAUCGGAAUUCCUGGUGUAGCGGUGAAAUGCGCAGAUAUCAGGAGGAACACCGGUGGCGAAGGCGGCCCGCUGGGCAGAGACUGACGCUGAGGCGCGACAGCGUGGGGAGCAAACAGG
rnacentral:rRNA from 1 species